rnacentral:rRNA from 1 species
CUACGGGUGGCAGCAGUGGGGAAUAUUGGACAAUGGAGGAAACUCUGAUCCAGCCAUGCCGCGUGAGUGAAGAAGGCCCUAGGGUUGUAAAACUCUUUCAGUAAGGAAGAUAAUGACGGUACUUACAGAAGAAGCCCCGGCUAACUCCGUGCCAGCAGCCGCGGUAAUACGGAGGGGGCUAGCGUUGUUCGGAAUCACUGGGCGUAAAGCGCGCGUAGGCGGUUUGAAAAGUCAGAUGUGAAAGCCCAGGGCUCAACCCUGGAACUGCAUUUGAAACUAUCAGACUAGAAUUCGGUAGAGGAUAGUGGAAUUCCUAGUGUAACAGUGAAAUGUAUAGAUAUUAGGAGGAACACCAGUGGCGAAGGCGACUAUCUGGGCCGAUAUUGACGCUAAUGUGCGAAAGCGUGGGGAGCAAACAGGAUUAGAUACCCCAGUAGUC